rnacentral:rRNA from 1 species
AUACGUAGGGCGCGAGCGUUGUCCGGAAUUACUGGGCGUAAAGGGCGCGUAGGCGGCGCUUCAAGUCGUCUGUCAAAUGGGAGGGCUUAACCCUUUUUCGCAGACGAAACUGGAGAGCUUGAGAAGCAGAGAGGCAAACAGAAUUCCUGGUGUAGCGGUGAAAUGCGUAGAUAUCAGGAAGAAUACCAGUGGCGAAGGCGGUUUGCUGGCUGCACACUGACGCUGAAGCGCGAAAGCCAGGGGAGCAAACGGGAUUAGAUACCCCGGUAGUCCUGGCAGUAAACGAUGUAUGCUGGGUGUGAGACUAGCGAUAGUUUCGUGCCGAAGUUAACGCGAUAAGCAUACCGCCUGGGGAGUACGGUCGCAAGAUUGAAACUCAAAGGAAUUGACGGGG